rnacentral:rRNA from 1 species
AUACUGGAUCUGAAAGAUCUGGUAAUUGGAAUGAGCACAAUUUAAAUCCCUUAGCGAGGAUCCAUUGGAGGGCAAGUCUGGUGCCAGCAGCCGCGGUAAUUCCAGCUCCAAUAGCGUAUACUAAAAUUGUUGCAGUUAAAAAGCUCGUAGUUGGAUUUCUGGCAUUGAGAAGCCUGUUCCGUCCCUUGUCUAAGGCGAGACGGUCCACCUCUGCUUGCUUCGGUGAGUGGGGGAGGAUUGUUUCGCAGGACAGAGAUGUGUUGAACUGUUGCUUUUCUGCCAUCAUUCGUGGAGAACAGUCCGGCUCUUAACUGAGCUGGGCUGCAAUCCCGAUCAUUUACUUUGAAAAAAUUAGAGUGUUCAAAGCAGGCUUAUGCUGUGAAUACAUUAGCAUGGAAUAACAAGAUAGGACUUGACGUCCUAUUUUUGUUGGUUUCUAGGACACAAGCCACGAUUGAUAGGGAUCGUUGGGGGUGCUAGUAUUCAGCGGCCAGAGGCGAAAUUCUGUGAUUCGCUGAGGACUAACAAAUGCGAAAGCAUUCACCAAGGAGGUCUUCUUUAAUCAAGAACGAAAGUUGAGGGAUCGAAGACGAUCAGAUACCGUCGUAGUCUCAACUAUAAACGAUGCCAACUAGGGAUUGGUGGGCGUUAGACAUUACUCAUGACCCCAUCAGCACCUUAUGAGAAAUUAAGAGUCUUUGGGUUCCGGGGGAAUCCGAUCGCAAGGUUGAAACUUAAAGGAAUUGACGGAAGGACACCACCAGGAGUGGAGCCUGCGGCUUAAUUUGACCCAACACGGGAAAACUCACCAGGUCCAGACAUAAUGAGGAUUGACAGAUUGAAGAUCUUUCUUGAUUUUAUGGUUGGUGGUGCAUGGUCGUUCUUAGUUGGUGGAGUGAUUUGUCUGGUUAAUUCCGUUAACGAACGAGACCUCAGCCUGCUAACUAGUCGGGCGAAUUCUUGAAAGAGAAUUCGCAUUUCAACCGACUUCUUAGAGGGACUUUUGGCUUCUAGCCAAAGGAAGUUUGAGGCAAUAACAGGUCUGUGAUGCCCUUAGAUGUUCUGGGCUGCACGUGCGCUACACUGUUGUGUUCGGCGAGCUUACUCACCCUUGAUCGAAAGGUCUGGGUAAUCUUUCAAAGCACAACGUGAUGGGGCUAGAUCAUUGUAAUUAUUGAUCUUCAACGAGGAAUUCCUAGUAAGCGCAAGUCAUCAGCUUGCACUGAUUACGUCCCUGCCCUUUGUACACACCGCCCGUCGCUCCUACCGAUUGAAUGAUCCGGUGAAAUCUUCGGACCUUCACAUGGGCUUGAGCUUGCUCAGGUCCAAGUGAUGGGAAGUUGAGUAAACCUUAUCAUUU